GUUACUUAUUAAACCAGCAACAGCAAAGAAUCGGAAUGCAAUAAGUGAAAAAUAAAUCAGCCCCAUUCUUUGUUCAAUCUCCUUUAUGGCCAGAUAUUAAGUUUCAUUUUGAGAAAGAAAUUAUCCUAUCAGCAACUGUUGACGUCUCAAUACUCCCACUGAAAGCACUGCUAGCCAUCAAGUCAAGAUGUCGCUGCCUUGGUCGACAUCUUCCAGAUAGCGCAUGAGAACGUCUUUUAGUUAAAUCUUCUUUUAAGUCUGUUUUUCUUCUUAAAUGUGUUUCUGAGAAUGUUGGAGCCUCCAAUUUACAGUUUGGAGAUAGUUUGAGUGAUCCAGCACUUUGCUGCCUCCGGGAAGCUUCCAGAAAGAGAGCAUAUACUCAGAAGGCCUUGAUACACAGGAACUUCGAUACAGGACUCUGCCAAAGUUCGACUCCAUUUUGCUAGUUAAAGCAUUGGGGAAGAUUGAGACAUCAAGGUGAAUGCAGAAGGCCAGCGAGAGUUCAGCGCUGAUUCCUUCCUUCAGAUCACUGCUGAAGGAGGAAUCUGUGAGUGGCCUAUCGCUGUGUGGCUCGCUGUGGCAGGCAGAGGCAUUGAUGCUGUUCUACUUACACCCACCUCUCACUUGCUUCUUUCACUUCCGGCAUGUUGGAGAACAGCGUGUGCCUCUCUGUGGGAGUUAGUACGUUCAACAGCUCUGGACACUUACUGAAAUGAUUGACAGCCACCGUCAAACUGCGCAGGUCUCUGGGGUCCUGUUUGAGUCCGUGAUCUACAGCUGCACUCAAACUGUGGUUCUUCGCGGCGGUGGGUUUCCGCUCUUGGAGCUCCCAGUGUUUUCGCUAUCUCCAGGAGCAGGCUGGAAGACGUGCGCCUAUGGCCCUGUGGACGAUCCAAUUCCUCACUAGUGUCGGCGACUGAGGCACCGCGGGAGGUUGGAACGUCAAGAUAGCUGUGCAUG